GAGAAAGUAGAGAGAGGUAGUGAAAAAAGAUAAUGAAAUAUAGAGAACUACGUAACGCUCCACAAUAGAACAAAUACCGUGCACUAAAGUUUCAAGAAAUUUCCGCUUCAAUAGGAAAGAAUAAACAAAUUAGAAUGGUUUGUUGGUACGGGAGAAAGCCGAUUACGAACAGUCAAGGCAAUGAUUUUGAUUGAUAUGAUCAACCAAUUUUGAUUUUACUAAUUCAAAAUGAAAUCCUAUUAAUUUCAAUCGAUAGCUCGCCCCUUUUACUUACAAUUUUUUGAAAGAUGUUGUUGGGGGAUGAAAAGAGGAGAAAUCGAAAGCAAACAACUGGCACAAUAUAGCCGCGAAAAAAAAUUUUUUUAAUGUAAAUAUACCGCGUUACUUGACCUUCCUUUAUAAGUAAAUUUUUAGUCCUGUGAUCUUCCGAGGCAGCAUGUGCCGUUUGCAUAAUUUAUGACCAAAUCCGUUACCCACAUAUAUCAUUUGUUUGCCUUGAGCACCCCGGAUAAAAGGUUGAAGAGUUGGUUUCCCGAUAUAUGGUCCUUACACUAAAGUAAAGGAUGCUCAGUAAGCUUCUCCCGUCUAGACUGGAAAUAGCGCAAAAAUCAUUUGGUAUGUAUAAUCAAAUAUUACGGAACGGAGUACGACUUAAAUUAAUUCUAUUAACAAAUUGAAAGCGCAUAGCUCUUUCAGAUAUGAAAGUGAAGCAGAAGGUGAGCAUUAUUCGCACUUAGCAACAGAAAAUUUGUAACUGACGACCUUGCAAAGGCUUGUAAGGUGAGCUAAGUUCCGCUUCCGUCUACGGUUCUUACCGUUCUUCUCCUCGUUUCCGUGCGAUGCGGUACCGUGUAAAGGCAUACCCCGUCUUUUUCUAUAACUAUUUUAACGAAACUUGUUGAAGCUUAAUCCUCACGAGUUUUCCGUUUGGGUAUUUCGUGUGGUUUCGGAUGUUUCAAAAGUUUGGGGUAAUCGACAUUUGUCCGUUCCCCAGAUUUCUGAAGAUAAUGUUAAGGCUUACCGAAUCAAUAACCUGACGUGUUCAUUCGUACAUGUGCCAUUGUUGUUGACAAAGAAUUAACCCCAUUUACAAGUAUGGUGCGGACAACCAAUUACUAUAUUUUUACCAAGGUGGUCCUCCAACAAACGAAUCCGUUCAACGACUUGGGUCACCUUAUAUAGGUUGAUUUGCAAGAAGUUUUGCUUAUUCCAUCUUUGGACGGUUGUAGCACAUAAGAUGUCCAUGUUAGUACCCAAAUAAAGUAUUUUGUUUUAGUUUAGAUAAUUAUAUAAAAUUAAAACUAACU